AACGAACGCUGGCGGCAUGCCUAACACAUGCAAGUCGAACGAACCCUUCGGGGUUAGUGGCGCACGGGUGCGUAACGCGUGGGAAUCUGCCCUUUGCUUCGGAAUAACAGUUAGAAAUGACUGCUAAUACCGGAUGAUGUCUUCGGACCAAAGAUUUAUCGGCAAGGGAUGAGCCCGCGUAGGAUUAGGGAGUUGGUGGGGUAAAGGCCUACCAAGCCGACGAUCCUUAGCUGGUCUGAGAGGAUGAUCAGCCACACUGGGACUGAGACACGGCCCAGACUCCUACGGGAGGCAUCAGUGGGGAAUAUUGGGCAAUGAGCGCAAGCCUGAUCCAGCAAUGCCGCGUGAGUGAUGAAGGCCUUCGGGUCGUAAAGCUCUUUUACCAGGGAUGAUAAUGACAGUACCUGGAGUAUAAGCUCCGGCUAACUCCGUGCCAGCCGCCGCGGUAAGAC
rnacentral:rRNA from 1 species